CAAGUCUGUAAUAGUGUCCCCAUUCCGGAAGCUUGUUGAAAUUGUGGAGAAACCACCGUUUUCUAGGUGCUUUGGCUGGUUCCUUAUGUCAAGACACUUGAAGAUUUCGAAGAAGCACGAAGGCAAUUCUAAUGGAAUAGGAGAUGACACGGUUCCAUUGCCUGAUGAAUACACAACUGAAGAAGCCCCUGUUGGCGCUGAGGAUGCUUCUGGAGUUGGAGAAGACAUGAUCGAUGUUAAUAUGACGGCUGUAAACAACCUCAAUGAACCCUCGUCUACUGGCGUUGUCAAUAACCCAACAUCACCUUUGGUGGACUGCGAUGCCAAUACCGUGAUGGUUUUUUUUUGUGAAUUCUACGAAUUCUCCGAACCCAAACAUGUUUGACAAUUUUGUUCCUCUGUUGUUAUUUUCAAAUCAGACUGUCGACAGGGUCUAUUUUUUCCCAUGACGACCAAUUUAUCAACCAAGAAGUACCAGUUCAUGCCGCAGACGAUGAUCCUCUUGUGCCGCCAUAUAGAAAAAAGCAAGCCAGCAAAGGUUAUUCCGAGAGCGCUAGUGGGAGAGUACCAGUGUGAUAAACAAUUCCUCACGCGUGCGUGGGAAGCACAUGUUACUGCUCUUUGUAGCAGUCCAAACAAUGACUAUGCUGCCAAAUUUCGUUCACUAUCAGAGAAGCUCAAAUCUCCAUUCGACAUAAAUGUUGGUGGCCUCUCUCUUGAAAGCAGAGAGUUGUCUCUAAUUAUUGAAAGGUCUUCCCAUUUAUCGGCCAAGAAAAGUUUUGCAGUCGAACAAAAUUACCUGCCAAGUAUUCCUUUUUCUACUGAGACAAGCCGGGAAACAACUAAAUGCCAAAGAUUUGAAGACAUUAUCCCUUGAUAGACCCCAUACUAUUCCCCAGAACCACAGCCAGUUCGACUUUGGCAUUACCGCAACUCUUCUUAUUCAAGCUCAUGCUGUUGGGGGUAUUGAUGUCUUAAAAUGCAUUACAUAGGAUGUUUUUGACGUGGAGGUGGAAAGAUUGCAGUCAUGAUCUAUGAAGAUAACAUUGGAGUCCUCUGAAUUUAGUGACCGAAGCUUUCAACGAUGAUCAUUGUUAUGGUGUUGUGUUGUACUGUCUACCCCUAUGUAAUAACGAUCAUCGUCUACCGUUUUUUUGAACAACUUCUAAGAAUUCCAAAUUAUCUCUUGCUAUGUUAACGUGUAUUUGUGUUUUCCUAUUUCCAGCCGGCAAGAAAAACCACAAAGACAUUUAUAUUAUUAUUUCGUGCAAGGCUAAUUUAACAUAUUUAAAGUUUAUUAUCGAUGCCUUAUGGGUAAAGUGAAUAUAAAUAUAACGUAUUGGCAAUUGUAAAUUUACUCUGCUAUGUGAAUCAGCCUUUGUAUAUUCUUUUUUCUAGACGGAUACAACAUAACAUAGACUUUUAGAAUUUUACUCUCGUUAUGCUAAUAAUACGUAUUUUUAGUUUAUAUAGUGGUUAUCACCAUUUAAUUAGAUUAACCAUUUGCUACGAUUAAUAUUUUCUGUAUAUUUUUAUCUCUAGCUGGUUAGAACUAUCACGUAGAUAUUUUCAAUAUUAAUCAUAUUCUACAUAUUUAAAGU